CAGCCGCCGCGGGAAUACAGAGGGUGCGAGCGUUAAUCGGAUUUACUGGGCGUAAAGCGUGCGUAGGCGGCUUCUUAAGUCGGAUGUGAAAUCCCUGAGCUUAACUUAGGAAUUGCAUUCGAUACUGGGAAGCUAGAGUAUGGGAGAGGAUGGUAGAAUUCCAGGUGUAGCGGUGAAAUGCGUAGAGAUCUGGAGGAAUACCGAUGGCGAAGGCAGCCAUCUGGCCUAAUACUGACGCUGAGGUACGAAAGCAUGGGGAGCAAACAGGAUUAGAGACCCCUGUAGUCCCUGUCUCUUAUAU
rnacentral:rRNA from 1 species